AUAUGUGCAGCCGUCAUCCCCCACUUCCUCUUCACCCUCUAGCCGCCACCCUCUCCUUCUCCUCCAUUCUCCGACGCUGUCACCUCUCCAAUCGAUAGUCGCCAUAGCCACCCCAUAAUCAACGUCGUGGGCCUUCAAUGGAGUCGUGUAUUGCCGCCGCUGUCUGAUACAUCGAAGUUGUGAACCGCUGGGGGCCGACGAACACCGUUGCUCCAUUAACCGGUGCUGCUGAAGCGCUCUUCUCCGUCUUCUUCUGCCACUGCGGUCGCCGAUGUCGUCGUUAUGGGCGACUGUUACGGCUAACGCUGUUCCCCGACUACCUCAUUUCCUUCCCGUCUAGUAGUUGUUGCUACCGAUGUCGAGUGAUACCACUGAUUACUGCCGAUGCCGCCACUCCAAGUCACCGCUCUUGUUUUCGUUAUAGACCAAACCGCCACCUGCUGCCAUUGUCCCGUCGCCACAGCCACCGUGGAAGUUCGGGAAUCUGUCAACCAACAGUUGGAGUUUCAUCCGCGGGACUUCAGAAAUGUCAGGUACUUCUGAUGAACGCAGGAAGGAGAAGGCGUGAUCGUGCACCUCCUUAUAUUUUCAUGAUUGUAUUCUGGGGAUACUCUGAUACCUAAAAAUUUUUGAAAACAAAUUGUAAUAUCUUAAUGGUUUUCAAAUGUUUUAAAAAAGUUUUAAAUUGGCUUGAA